rnacentral:rRNA from 1 species
CCACGGGUGAGUAACACGUAUCCAACCUGCCGUCUACUCUUGGACAGCCUUCUGAAAAGGAAAGAUUAAUACAAGAUGGCAUCAUGAGUCCACAUGUUCACAUGAUUAAAGGUAUUCCGGUAGACGAUGGGGAUGCGUUCCAUUAGAUAGUAGGCGGGGUAACGGCCCACCUAGUCUUCGAUGGAUAGGGGUUCUGAGAGGAAGGUCCCCCACAUUGGAACUGAGACACGGUCCAA